AAGGGUCCAUCAUCGAGAAGCCUGAUCCGUGACACUGGGACAGCUCUUUGACACCGUCAGUUAUUAGCCUGAGUUACAGGAGACAACAAACAUGCUGAAGCCAAGUGGGCUUAAAAUCCCCGGCCGGGCAGGCAAGCACUCCAGCCCCGUGGGACGGGCGUCACGGACAGCUGCAGCUGCAGU